GACGUAGGGCGCGAGCGUUGUCCGGAUUUAUUGGGCGUAAAGAGCUCGUAGGCGGCUUAUCGCGUCGACUGUGAAAACCCACGGCUUAACUGUGGGCUUGCAGUCGAUACGGGCAGGCUAGAGUUCGGUAGGGGAGACUGGAAUUCCUGGUGUAGCGGUGAAAUGCGCAGAUAUCAGGAGGAACACCGGUGGCGAAGGCGGGUCUCUGGGCCGAUACUGACGCUGAGGAGCGAAAGCGUGGGGAGCGAACAGG
rnacentral:rRNA from 1 species